CAAUAAUGCUCUAUAAAUAUGAGGACGAAGCAAAAGGGAGUGGAGCCAACUAAAAAGUUAUAAAGAGCAUCAUAUCAUACAUAGCAAUAAAAGAAAGAUGCAAGGCCAGUGGAUAGCGGCAAGAGACCUUACAAUUACAUGGGUGAACAAUCCUCAGUUCUGGAUAUGGAAAACUGUUGAUCCUAAUAUUGAAGUGGCGUAGCUUCGUAGCGUAAAUUGGCUUGACAUUUAUGGAAAGAUAGACACAAAAAAUCUUAUUCAAACGACUAGUUAUGCAGUAUAUUUUCAACAACUUAGGAGAGGAUGGUGAAGUCGAAAUGAGGUUGAUGGAAAUCAAUAACGCCACUUCGAAAUCUGGCAUCAUUGUUAAGGGCUUCGACAUUCGUCCAAAUUAAUUGGAUAGAUCUCUAGCCUUUCUAUUCUGCAUGUUGUUGUGUUUGUCUUUUCAGAUUUUCUAAUAAAAUCUCUCUCUAUGAUAAGAGUGAGCGUGUUGUAAGUG